rnacentral:rRNA from 1 species
GGGCGCACGCGCGCUACACUGACGGAGCCAGCGAGUUCUUUCCUUGGCCGAGAGGUUCGGGUAAUCUUGUGAAACUCCGUCGUGCUGGGGAUAGAGCAUUGUAAUUAUUGCUCUUCAACGAGGAAUUCCUAGUAAGCGCAAGUCAUCAGCUUGCGUUGAUUACGUCCC